UACGAAGGGUGCAAGCGUUACUCGGAAUUACUGGGCGUAAAGCGUGCGUAGGUGGUUUGUUAAGUCUGAUGUGAAAGCCCUGGGCUCAACCUGGGAAUUGCAUUGGAUACUGGCAGGCUAGAGUGCGGUAGAGGGUAGUGGAAUUCCCGGUGUAGCGGUGAAAUGCGCAGAUAUCAGGAAGAACACCCGUGGCGAAGGCGGCUCUCUGGAACGCAACUGACGCUGAGACGCGAAAGCGUGGGGAGCGAACAGG
rnacentral:rRNA from 1 species